UACAUAUCCUGUUUUUUUAUUGUUAUUUAUCAUCUUUCUUUUAAUGCAGUAUUUAAGAGACCCUUCUUGGAUGACUUUUUAGGAUUUUUCUUUGAGAGAUUUGACGUUGCCAUUUGGUCUUCAAGAACCAGGAAAAUUUUGGACCCUGUGGUUGAUUAUUUGUUAGGGGAUUUGAAGAAGAAGCUGGUGUUUAUUUGGGACAUAUCUCACUGCACCAAUUCAAGUGCCCGAAGCCUUGAAAACUAUCACAAGUUCAUAGUCUUCAAGAAACUGGGAAGAUAUGGGAAGGAAAUGGUCGUAUCGCCUAAUCCU